UACGAGAGGCCCAAACGUUAUUCGGAAUUACUGGGCUUAAAGAGUUCGUAGGCGGCAUGAAAAGCAGGGUGUGAAAGCCCUCGGCUCAACCGAGGAAUUGCGCUCUGAACUGUCGUGCUAGAGGAAUCUAGAGGUGAGCGGAACUGAUGGUGGAGCGGUGAAAUGCGUUGAUAUCAUCAGGAACACCGGAGGCGAAGGCGGCUCACUGGGGAUUUUCUGACGCUGAGGAACGAAAGCCAGGGGAGCGAUCCGG
rnacentral:rRNA from 1 species